rnacentral:lncRNA from 1 species
UGGAUAAGUCUAUGUACUAUGGUCUUUGUGGGGCUGCACCACAUAGUCCUUUGUGGGGCUGGAGCACAUGGUCCUUGUGGCUGUUAGGAUAGAAUCCUUGACCAUCAAGGACUGGCAGUUAGGAUAGCAUCUUAGACUAGCAUCUUAGACUAGCAUCUUAGCAUAUGCUUGGCUGGCUAGCAGCCUAUAAAUAUGUAUCCCAACACCUCAGUUGGCAUGGCAUUUGUGUGAGAAAUAAACCAACGAAAAUUGUCCCAACUCUCCUAGUGUCAUCCACAACUAUCAAUGCUCAGGCUGAAAGGUCUAACAAGUGGUAUCAGAGCCUCGUUAUCUUGUACCCUGAGCAUUUCCUGCUCACCUCUCUCACCAGGAGCUGAGCAGCCUAAGCCGGUAGCAGCAGCUGCUCCGACUGCCCCUAGUUACCUCCCUCCCUCCGGACUGUCGAGCAGCAGCUCGUCAGCAACAGCC